rnacentral:rRNA from 1 species
UACAUGUGGGGCAAGCGUUGUUCGGAAUUACUGGGCGUAAAGGAUGCGUAGGCGGACAUUUAAGUCAGAUGUGAAAUACCCGAGCUUAACUUGGGUGCUGCAUUUGAAACUGGGUGUCUAGAGUGCAAGAGAGGUAAGUGGAAUUCCUAGUGUAGCGGUGAAAUGCGUAGAGAUUAGGAAGAACACCAGUGGCGAAGGCGACUUACUGGACUGUAACUGACGCUGAGGCAUGAAAGCGUGGGGAGCAAACAGG